GUUUCAGGGCGGGGUGAGAUUCCCCACUGGCGGUAACGGGAGCGACGGCAAGAAGCCCGGCGCGAGGCCCGAAGUCCGCGACCCGCGAAAAUGCGGUGGACCUGGUGAGAAUCCAGGACCAACGGUCAAAGUCCGGAUGGAAGAAA
rnacentral:ncRNA from 1 species